AUUGAACGCUGGCGGCAGGCCUAACACAUGCAAGUAGAGCGAGCGGCGGACGGGUGAGUAAUGUCUGGGAAACUGCCUUAUGGCGGGGGAUAACUACUGGAAACGGUAGCUAAUACCGCAUACCAUCAGAUCUGCCCAGAUGGGAUUAGCUAGUAGGUGGGGUAAUGGCGCACAUAGGCGACGCUCCCUAGCUGGUCUGAGCGGCUGACCAGCAACACUGGAACUGCGAGAAGGUCAAGACUCCUACGGGAGGCAGCAUUGGGGAAUAUUGCACAAUGGGCGCAAGCCUGAUGCUGCCAGGCCGCGUGUGUGAAGAAGGCCUGAGGGUUGUAAAGUUCUUUCGGUUGCGAGGCGUUAACUACAGAAGAAGCACCGGCUAACUCCGUGCCAGCAGCCGCGGUAAUAC
rnacentral:rRNA from 1 species